CGUUGUUCGGAGUUACUGGGCGUAAAGGGUGCGUAGGCGGCUUUUUAAGUUUGGUGUGAAAUCUCCCGGCUCAACUGGGAGGGUGCGCCGAAUACUGAGAGGCUAGAGUGUGGGAGAGGAAAGUGGAAUUCCUGGUGUAGCGGUGAAAUGCGUAGAUAUCAGGAGGAACACCGGUGGUGAAAACGGCUUUCUGGACCAUAACUGACGCUGAGGCACGAAAGCGUGGGUAGCAAACAGG
rnacentral:rRNA from 1 species